AUAGGCACACAUUAGACUAUUCACUCCAGUGAUGACAAAAAAGGUGGCAGGUUGAGCACAUGUAAGAUUUAGUUAAGAUAUGAGUUUUAAGGUUUUUAUCACCAGUGUCCCCUCAGACAGUAACAAUUUUUCUGUGAUGUGGUCUCUCCCAGAUCAAACUUUCCAGAUGUCUGUGCAAAACUGUAUGUAACCAUCCAGCCAGAGAGCUCUUCUUUUCUGUGACAUAAGUUUGCCUUUCAGGCGUGUCACAAUCACUUAACCAUCACUCACACCCACUUUGCAUGGACACCUAUAUCAAAUUGAUUGUUGUUUACAAGGCCUUGGAACUAGACUAGUUCCUCAUGGCCCUUACUUCACUGUUAUGUAUCACACAAUGACAAGACAUUGGAAAAUAAUUCCAAAAAAAUUUGAUAAGAAAACUCUAACAUUCAAAAAGCCUCAAGAGCCAACAAAUAAAUCUCAAGUGGUAGAAAUGAAGGCAUCAGAAAAGGAAUAUAUUCCAGAAAGCCAGAGAGUUUACUGUCAUUACUGAAAUUGUGACACACACCACUGCACUUUCUCAUAAUGGUAACGCUCUGCUAUUAAGGAAUCAAGAGUUUCACUAUAAGGGAGAAAAGAUGCAAUAUGUGAUCAAAGAAGGUAAAGAAGAGCUAAGCAAUAUUAAAUGCAAACUGGAAAUAUUAGUAGGGGCUCGAGAUUUUUUUAUAUAUGUUUUCCAGCUCUACUCUCUGGAUGGAUGUAGAAACAAUGACAUCUCUGUAACAAUGAGCACAUUUUAUGUCCAGACCUUGUAUUCUAAACAUCAUUCUCCACUGAAAGAAACCAGAGAAACUUGGAGAAAUGCUUAUUCCAGGUCUAAGUCAGGGGAAAUAUAAAGUAAAUCUGAAAAAUCUUGUUGCACUAGAAAGAAAUAAAAGUGCUCAAAGACUUGUGGGGUUGUAUUAGUUAGCAAUUGCUAUAAAACAAACUACUCCCAAACUUAGAGGCUUAAAAUAAUAAAUACUUAUAUGUCCCAGUUCUCUGGGUCAGAAAUAUGAGGGUGGCUUAGCUGGGCCUCUGGCUCAGGAUCUCUCCCAAGGCUGCAGGAAAGUCAUUAGCCAGGCUGCACCCUCUCAGGCUCAUCUGGGAGAGGAUUCAAUUUU
rnacentral:lncRNA from 1 species